rnacentral:rRNA from 1 species
GACGAACGCUGGCGGCGUGCUUAACACAUGCAAGUCGAACGGAAAGGCCCUGCUUGCAGGGUACUCGAGUGGCGAACGGGUGAGUAACACGUGGGUGAUCUGCCCUGCACUUCGGGAUAAGCCUGGGAAACUGGGUCUAAUACCGGAUAGGAGCCAUUUUUAGUGUGAUGGUUGGAAAGUUUUUUCGGUGUAGGAUGAGCUCGCGGCCUAUCAGCUUGUUGGUGGGGUAAUGGCCUACCAAGGCGGCGACGGGUAGCCGGCCUGAGAGGGUGGACGGCCACAUUGGGACUGGGAUACGGCCCAGGCUCCUACGGGGGGGAGGAGUGGGGGAUAUUGCACAAAGGGGGCAAGCCUGAUGCAGGGACGCCGCGGGGGGGAUGACGGCCUUCGGGUUGUAAAAUCCUUUCGCUAGGGACGAAGCUUUUUGUGACGGUACCUAGAUAAGAAGCACCGGCUAACUACGUG